rnacentral:SRP_RNA from 1 species
GCUGGGCGUGGUGGCGCGCGCCUGUAAUCCCAGCUACUUGGGAGGCUGAGACAGGAGAAUUGCUUGAACCUGGGAGGCAGAGGUUGUGGUGAGCCAAGAUCAUGCCACUGCACUCCAGCCUGGGUGACAGAGUAAGACUCUGUUUCAA